rnacentral:rRNA from 1 species
UUUGGUGGUGGAUUGUUGCUGGCCUUUGGGUAUGUGCACAUCCUCCUCCGAUUUCUAUUCAUCCACCUGUGCACUUUUUGUAGGAGUUCUUUCAUCGGGUUUUUGAAGGGGGUUCUUUUUAAUUUAUUUGAAAAAAUUAUUUAACAAGGUUCCAUGGUCCUUAUAACCCUUUGAAUAUGGUAAAAAAAGGACCUGGUAUUGGGAAUUUUUUGGCCCCUUUAACUUUAUAACACUUUUCACCACCGAAUUCCUGGGUCCCCCCUUCAAGAAAAAACCCACCAAAUGGCAAUAAUAAAGGGGAAUGGCAAAAUUCAUGGAACCUCCAAUCCUUUAACCCCCCCUUGCCCCCCCGGGAUUUCCGAAGGGAUGGCCGGUUGAAUGGCCUUUAAUUCCCCACUUUUUUAAUUUUUUUAUUUAUAAAAUUGGGUGUGGGAGGGGUGUGCGGGUUUUUGUCCUCCCCUCUUAAUUUUUUUAGGGAAACCCGUGUUUUGUUAUCUCAACCUGGGGUGAGAAAUUUCUCCACUUUGGGGGGAACCUUUAAAAAAAAAAAUCUCUUGUGUUGGGGUGUGGCGUUUUUAUUUCGCUCACUCUGCUCUACUC